rnacentral:rRNA from 1 species
AGUGAACGCUGGCGGUAGGCCUAACACAUGCAAGUCGAACGGCAGCACAGUAAGAGCUUGCUCUUACGGGUGGCGAGUGGCGGACGGGUGAGGAAUACAUCGGAAUCUACUUUUUCGUGGGGGAUAACGUAGGGAAACUUACGCUCAUACCGCAUACGACCUACGGGUGAAAGCAGGGGAUCUUCGGACCUUGCGCGAUUGAAUGAGCCGAUGUCGGAUUAGCUAGUUGGCGGGGUAAAAGCCCACCAAGGCGACGAUCCGUAGCUGGGCUGAGAGGAUGAUCAGCCACACUGGAACUGAGACACGGUCCAGAGUCCUACGGGAGGCAGCAGUGGGGAAUAUUGGACAAUGGGCGCAAGCCUGAUCCAGCCAUACCGCGUGGGUGAAGAAGGCCUUCGGGUUGUAAAGCCCUUUUGUUGGGAAAGAAAAGCAGCAGGUUAAUACCCCGCUGUUCUGACGGUACCCAAAGAAUAAGCACCGGCUAACUUCGU